rnacentral:lncRNA from 1 species
GUGAGUCUUGCUCAGUAAGCGCUAUCUUUGUCAGGAUAUCCCUACCACGGCUCCAAGGAAGACGAGGACUACGCGCGUGACGGAGAGCGAGGACGACUGCAAAGCCUCUCAACGUGCUGCCAGGUCCAGUGGAGUUCAGGUAACCACUGAAAUCAGCACCUUCUUUCACUGCAACUCUAAUGUUCAGUAUCUAUUGCAUCUCUUUUCAUUAUAGUUCUAUGGACUGCAUGAUUUAUGGUAAACCGUAGAGGAAUGGAUUUGUCUUCUGUGUCUUGCCUAAUUUCAUACAAAAGCCUUUACCAGGUGCAGUAGCUGUUGUAGAUGGACGACCUGUAGAAGUAUUGCUUGCAGCUAGAUUCAAAUAUGGGUCAUAUGCUAACCCUGUACUGUUUCUACUUUCUACAUUUGAUUGGCAAUAAGUAAUGUAGUCCGGUUGUCAUACAAAUCAUGAAGUUACAGUCACUUAUUGAUAAGGCGAUUGAACUGUGGGGUUUUAGCAGGGAGUUUGAAGUUCUAUUUGGUGCCAAGCUCCUAAACUGAGAAGGCAUAACAGGCACACAAGUAACUGUUAUUUCUGUCCUCCAAGCUUAGAUGUUCUAAGCUGUCCAUGGUUAGGAUAAACCAAUAUGUAAGCUCAUAACCUGUGUUUGGGUUGGGAUAGAAAUUGGAUCACUUCCAAAUUAGUUCCUCCAAACAUCCAACAACCUAGCAUGGUCUAUUUUUUUUGGAUCUCUGUACAUACAUUGGAUCCAUUAUGUUUUCUUGUUCCAAAUUUCCUCGAAUUAAUUAUGUGGAUAUUUUAUUCUGGUUGAUAAUGCAGUUCAUGUGCAUGUUAGCAUAUAGUUCUCUGUGGGUCUUAUUAUUUAGUUGGCAUUAUGUUUUUUGGAUCUCUGUACACACAUUUAGAUCAGUAGUAUUUUGAGAAAUCUUAUUUACAUUGUACUAAAUAUAAUGUCUGAUAAAAUACAUUGGUAGUACAUGAUGUUAGUUUAGUGUCACUUUUCAGAGUCAAGUUCAGUCAUCUACCUCUGUUAAACUAUCUGGAUUUCACAAGAGAGUUAUAGCCAAUUCAAGCUACGCAGAGAUUCCUGUACUGCUGGACACAUAGGUAAUCUAUUUUUAUACCUUGCCAUUGCCAUUGCAAUAAUUUUUCUAUACAGCUUAC